GACGAACGCUGGCGGCGUGCUUAACACAUGCAAGUCGAGCGGUAAGGCCCUUUCGGGGGUACACGAGCGGCGAACGGGUGAGUAACACGUGGGUGACCUGCCCUUAGCUCUGGGAUAAGCCUGGGAAACUGGGUCUAAUACCGGAUAUGACUCCAUGACGCAUGUUGUGGGGUGGAAAGCCUUGUGCGGCUAGGGAUGGGCCUGCGGCCUAUCAGCUUGUUGGUGGGGUGAUGGCCUACCAAGGUGACGACGGGUAGCCGGCUUGAGAGGGCGACCGGCCACACUGGGACUGAGACACGGCCCAGACUCCUACGGGAGGCAGCAGUCGGGAAUCUUGCGCAAUGGGCGAAAGCCUGACGCAGCGACGCCGCGUGGGGA
rnacentral:rRNA from 1 species